CUUCGGGCGGAAGUGAAGCCUAGACAGGGGCCCAGGGGUGGGUGUGACAGCCCCUGCCGCUAGCACGACAACAACCGAGUGUCAAAAAGGGGUUCCUGGGAAAGUGGGAACCGGGCGGCUCGCUGUCGUGGCAGGGAGCUUUGGCUGGAGGGAACCCUCGAAUCUUUCUCCCGAGAACUCGAGAGCAGUAGCUGUUUGUCGAUAGCCGGGACACCCUGUAAAACCGAGCCUUGCACGUAAAGCAGCGGACCUUCCUUUUAAAGCGGCUGCAAGUGCCACGACUAUGUCAAUUAAAGAUUGCUGGGCAGAAACCCUUUAAACUUUCUAUCAACUGGCUGAUUAAUAUUGCUGGAAAUAGGAAAGAUGGAAGAAGCUUUCAAAACUGCGACUCAAAGCCUUGAUUUAGAUCAAGGUUGUUUCUCUAUGAUGGAUGAAUCCAGUCAACAAGAAGCCCCGUCUCCCAAAUUAUCUAUUACUGAAUUGAGCAAAGAGUUAGAUUCAAAGAGUGAGCUGAUUGAUGACAAAGAAUUUGAUAUUCCUCAAGUUGAUACUCCUCCAACAUUAGAAAGUAUUUUAAAUGAAACUGAUGAUGAAGAAGAGCCAUUUGUUCUUGAGGAUCCUUCUCUUUUGAACAUUGAUAACAUUGAUACUCAUUCAUAUGAUACUUCGUCAGUAGCAAGCUCUGAUAGUGGAGAUAAAUCACAUCUAAAAAGAAAGAAGAAACUCCGUGAUUCAUUCUCCAUCCAUGGCUCAGUUAUACGGCUGUCACUUUUGAAGGGUAUUUCUACCCAAAUAGUAUCUGCAGCAGCCAAAGUGGAUGCAGGUUUACCGACUGCAAUUGCAGCAUCAAGUCUUAUAGCAGUAGGAACAUCCCAUGGUCUAGCUUUGAUAUUUGAUCCUAACCAGGCUCUUCGGCUUUGCUUGGGCAAUACUGCUGUUGGUGCACAGUAUGGGGCUAUAUCUGCUCUUAGCAUCAACAAUGACUGUUCGAGACUUCUGUGUGGCUUUGCAAAAGGACAGAUUACAAUGUGGGAUCUGGCCAGUGGAAAACUGUUACGAUCAAUAAUAGAUGCACAUCCUCCAGGAACUGCAAUUUUGCACAUUAAGUUUACAGAUGAUCCAACUCUCGCAAUCUGCAAUGACAGCGGUGGUUCAGUAUUUGAACUGUCAUUCAAGAGAGUAAUGGGUGUGAGAACGUGUGAAUCUCGCUGUUUGUUCAGUGGUUCGAAGGGAGAGGUUUGCUGCAUUGAGCCUUUACAUGCGAAGGCUGAGCUGAGAGACCAUCCUAUCACCCAAUAUUCUCUGCUAGCUAUGGCUUCCUUAACAAAGAUUCUUGUGAUUGGAUUGAAGCCAUCUUUGAAAGUGUGGAUGACAUUCCCAUAUGGUCGUAUGGAACCAUCUAGUGUUCCACUGCUUGCCUGGUAUUUUGUUGCUGCCCAAACAUCUGUGAAUCCAGUGCUUGCUUUCUGUCGGGGAGAUGUGGUCCAUUUCCUUCUGGUAAAAAGAGAUGAAUCUGGAGCAAUACAUGUUACGAAGCAGAAGCAGCUACACUUGCAUUAUGAUUUAAUCAAUUUUACAUGGAUAAACUCCCAUACAAUUGUGCUUCUAGACAGUGUGGAAAAAUUACAUGUGAUAGAUCGUCAUACACAGGAGGAACUUGAGACUGUAGAAAUAUCAGAAGUUCAGCUAGUAUACAAUAGCAGCCACUUCAAAUCGUUGGCAACAGGAGGCAAUGUUAGCCAAGCACUGGCGCUGGUAGGUGAGAAGGCUUGCUACCAGUCAAUCAGCAACUGUGGUGGUCAGAUUUUUUAUUUGGGUACAAAGUCUGUUCAUGUUUUAACACUGAGGACCUGGAGGGAGAGGAUCGAUCACCUUCUGAAACAAGAAUGUCUUAAUGAAGCAUUGGCUUUGUCGUGGUCCUUUCAUGAAGGAAAAGCCAAAGCUGUUGUGGGCUUAUCUGGGGAUGAACAAAAACGGAAGGCUGUUGUUGCAGACAGGAUGGUUGAAAUACUUAUUCAUUGUGCUGAUCGAACCAUGAAGAAAUGUCCUGAGCAGGGUAAAAUCCAAGUUAUGGAACAACAUUUUCAGACUAUGGUCCCUGUCAUUGUUGACUAUUGUCUUCUGCUUCAGCGAGUAGAUAUAUUAUUUGGUCAAAUGUAUGACAAGAUGAGUGAAAAUUCUGUAGCAAAGGGAGUGUUUUUAGAAUGUCUUGAGCCAUACAUUUUAAGUGAUAAAUUGGUUGGAAUCACAGCUCAGAUUAUGAAGGAUUUGCUACUUCAUUUCCAAGAUAAGAACUUAAUGGCAAACAUGGAAGCCUGCAUUGUACAUAUGGAUAUUACCAGCCUUGAUAUACAACAGGUUGUCCUUAUGUGUUGGGAAAACCACCUAUAUGAUGCCAUGAUAUAUGUCUAUAACAGUGGAAUGAAUGACUACAUUACUCCAAUGGAGAAAUUGUUCAAAGCCAUUGCUCAUCCACUUAGUGCUGGAAAAUCUCUCUCAGAUGAGCAAGUCAUUAUGGGCAACAAACUGCUUGUCUACAUAAGCUGCUGUUUGGCAGGCCGAGCUUACCCAUUGGGCAAUAUUCCUGAAGACCUGGUACCACUGAUUAAAAACCAAGUCUUUGAAUUCCUUAUCCGUCUGCAUUCAGCUGAGGCCCCUACAGAUGAAGAAGUGUAUCCCUACGUUCGUACACUGUUGCACUUUGAUACACGAGAGUUCCUUAAUGUUCUUGCACUGACAUUUGAAGAUUUUAAGAAUGACAAGCAAGCUGUGGAAUACCAACAGAGAAUUGUGGACAUAUUACUCAAGGUUAUGGUGGAGAACUCUGAUUUUACCCCAUCACAAGUUGGAUGCCUUUUUACUUUCCUUGCUCAACAGCUUGCUAAGCCAAACAACACAUUGUUUGUGAAUAGGAUGCUAUUUGACCAGGUCCUUGAAUUUCUCUGCAGUCCUGAUGAUGAUUCACGACAUUCUGAAAGACAGCAGGUUCUUUUAGAAUUGCUUCAGGCUGGAGGUAUAGUGCAGUUUGAAGAAAACAGACUCAUUCAAAUGGCAGAAAAAGCUGAAUUUUACCAAAUCUGUGAAUUUAUGUAUGAACGGGAACAUCGCUAUGAUAGGAUAAUUGAUUGCUACUUGCAUGAUCCCUUGAGAAAGGAAGAAGUUUUCUCCUAUAUCCACAAUAUUCUUUCCAUUCCUGGGUAUAGUACAGAAGAAAAGCAAUCUGUGUGGCAGAAAACUAUGAAACAUAUUGAGGAGCUGACAUCAGUGAGUCCUUUUAAAACAGCAGAUCUUAUUUCUAUUCAUUUCAGUGACGAGAUUGAACAAAUAAUUCAGAUUCUACAGGAUGAACAUUUACUUUUCCAAUUUUUGAAGAGUCUCCUUGAUCCAAGGGAAGGUAUCAAUCAAGAUUUGCUUCAGCUUUCUCCCUCUAUUACUGAACAGUUUAUUGAUUUGCUGUGUCGGUAUGAUGCUGACCAGGUCUUAGAGACUUUGAAGUUCCUGGAGUCCUAUAGACCGGAAGAGAUAAUUCAGGUCACCCAAAAAUAUCAGCUCCAUGAGGCUUCUUCUUACUUGCUUGAAAAGAAAGAUGACAUUCCUGGUGCCUUCUUAAUUAUGCUUGAGUGGUUACAAAGCAAGCUUUCAGCACUGACUUCUGGAGAUAAAACACAACUUCCUUUACUAAAAGAUAUUGAAGGUACCUUAGCAAAAACAAUUGCACUUUGCCAGAGGAAUUCACACAAAUUUAAUCAGCAGGAGCGAGAAGCACUGUGGUUUCCGCUCCUAGAGGCAAUGUUGUCACCCCAAAGAUCUGCACUGCUACCCUGUUACUCUGAAUAUUUGAAGAACUUGACAAUGCAAGUAUUGAACAAUAUGACAACAUUCAUUGCUCUGCCAUUAAUUUUGCAGAGAAUCCUACAGGAUCCAGUAUAUGGAAAAGGAAAACUUGGAGAAAUUCAGAGUCUUGUACUGGGUAUGCUAGACAGCUUUAACUAUGAGCAGACUCUUUUGGAGACAACAACAAGCUUACUUAACCGUGAUCUCCACUGGUCCUUACGUAAUUUGAAAGCAUCUAUGACUAGAGGCCUCAAUCCCAAACAAGAUUAUUGCUGUAUUUGUUUGCAACAGUACAAGAGAAGGCAACAGACUGGUGACCAAAUUGUAGUAUUCAGUUGUGGCCAUUUGUACCAUUCUCUUUGUCUGCUAAGUAAAGAGUGUGGCACUGAAACAACAGGACAGAUGAGGUGGACUUGCUUUAAAUGCAGUGCAAGUCAUAAAGGAGAGAAAGUAAGUUUGACUUCCUUGGAGAUGAAGAAAAGAACUCCGGUAUCACUUGCUCAGACUAGUUCAGAGUGUCUGUUGGAUCCUCAGCAAGCUCAAGCUUUUGACCAGCUCUGUCGUCUAUAUCGUGGAACAUCAAGGUUGGCACUUUUGACUGAAUUGUCUCGAGAUCAUGGUGGUGAAAAACAUGGUUUUGUCCAAGUCUCCCAGGGGUCUUCUGCUCUGAAUAGUGUCUUCCAAAAUGAGACUUUUCAGCUUCACCUCAAUCCUCCUCCUCUUCUAGAAGACUAAUCCUUGAGUAUCAAGCAUUGUGAAAAAAUACUUCCAAUGUUUGCUGGUGGAUCCAAAGUAAAAGGGGCUGUUGUGGCUGCAGUUGUUAACAAGACAUUUUAAGACAGGAAAUCAAGAGAUUUUAAAGCCGUGAAAGCCACUAGUAUUCUGAUAAUUAAGCCAAGUAAGAAGAAAAUAGGAUUGCAUUGACUAUGCCAUAUAAAAGCAGGAUCAAGGAAAAGGAUAUUGAUAUAAAAAAGAACCAUCAAUCAAUUGCAAAAGGCAGCUUUACUUGGAACAGCUUACAUUCUGGGAGGAUCUGGAGUCAGCAGAAUAAAAGAGAAAGAACUGGAGAAAAUCAUAGAAUACAAAAACGUGCAAAUAGGAUGGCUGUGGCAAAAGAAAGCAAAAAUAAUACCAAUAGUAACAGGCAACUCAGGUGUAGUCCCAAAACAUCAGGAACACCACUUAAUACCAUCAUCAAUUGACAAAAUCACUAUCAGUUGCAAAAGGCAGCUUUACUCAGAACAGCUUACAUCCUGAACAUACCUUUAAUACCAUCAAACAAAAUCUGCCUAUCCCUGCUCCUAUCUGUCUGACUGUGCAAUGAACCAUAAUAAAACAGAAUAGCUGGGAAAGAUUAUUUCGCUGUUGAUACUUCAGGGUUCUCUGUCAUCACCAGAGUUGUUCCUUGACUGGCAAGUAAUACCUAUCAGGGAGCAGGUUCAUAACUUGGAGCUCCUUCUGGUCUCCUAGCCCCUGCAGGUAGAAACUGUGGCCAGAGGGAAUUAUGCCCAUUUUGGUGGUGCAUCAGUUGCAACCCUACCUGAGGUAGAAGUGUUUACCAAUAAUAACUCGUGCUCUUAUUAUUACCUAGCUGAGCUACUGUUAUAUGUUACAGUUGGCUCUAUCCUUAAAAAGUAGUUAGAAAUUACAAUUGGUCCAAAAUGGAUGGUCCCACAUGAUUUUGCAGAUCCUGCAUUGGUUGCUAAUUGGUUUCCAGGUACAAUUUAAAGUACUGGUUUUAACUUAUAAAUUCCUUUAAUACCCCGUGCCUGGAUAUCUGCAGUAUCACCUCCUUCAACCAAUACUGUCUGAACAAUUAAAGCAAAGUGGGGACACUGUCAUUAUUCCAUUAUUUUGGGGUUCCAUCAUUCUGAGCGAUUGCAAUGAAAAGUGCUGCUUUUCCAUGGCACGUUGACCCUAAGGAACAGAAUAGCCCCCUCACUGAUGUUUCAGAAGCUUUAAAAGUCAGAGCUGGUCUUCUGAUUUGAUCAUGCCAUCUUUACUUUCUAUUUGUAUUGUUUGUAGCUUUAUGUUUUGACAGUAUCGUUUUAUUCUUUCUAUGGUUAUUUUUAUACCAUGAAGGUUUACUUGGGUUUUACAAUCUGUGUAAGCAGCUGAGAAUCUCUGGAUUGAAGUUGGGGCAGAAAUGUGAAAAAUAAAUGUAGAGUAGGAGUGAUAACUUCCAGAAUCUGGAAGCAAGCAUGAUAAAUUGGGCAGAGGCAGAAGUAGGUAGAGAUAUUGCUGACUUUUGUUUCUUUUCAAUGGAAUUACAUACUUCUGCUCUGCUUAUGUAUGUAGCCCUUCUUAUUUUAUGUUCUAAUAAAAAUAACGUCAAUACCUGGAAGGAAGUAAUGCCAGUGCAAGCAACAUUAUGUAAAGCAAAGAAAAGUAUAAAAAGUAUAAAUAAAAAUAAUAAUAAAGGGUGAUACAAUAAAAGAACAGAAAAAAAAUGACUAAAUGUAAUUUACACAACCACCACAAUGUAAUUUAUAUUAACAUGUUUAAAUAAAAAGAUAAAGACUGAAACAAGCAAUAUAAAGUAAGGAGAAAGAGAAAGCAAAAAGUGCAAGGAAAGAAAAAAAGGUAGAAAAGAAAAAAAAAGAUAUCAAGAAGUGGUUUUGAUAGCAAUAAUAAGUACAAAUAUACUUAGAACUCUCUCUAUAAGGUUACAUCAAACAUGUACUAUUCUUUCUAUAAUCUGUCCUAAUCAUCAAAACCCUAAAUCCCAAAAUCAUUUUUCUCAUUUUAUGCAGAAAGUCCAUAAGUGGCUAUCAGUCACCAAUAAAUAUAAAUAAUGGCUUUUCCCCACUCAAAAGAAGUCAAUUUAUUCAUUUCAGCAAAAUUGUGUCAACACUUCUCUAUACCUUCCUAUCCUUACAAAGCACCCCUUUUUCCAUCAUGUCCAAACAUUAGUUCAUUAUUUGCCUUUUACUAUUUAAAUUUCCUCACUUCUCUUUGAGUAUGUUAUCAACUUCAUCCCACUAUAAGUUUCAUUGUAUUCCUCUUCCUCUGAAACCAUUUGGUCUUUGUUUUAAUUUGUUUUAAUUUGUUUUAAUUUGUUUUUUUAUUUGUUUUUAAUUUGUUUUAAUUUGUUUUAGGGUUUGUCAUCCAUUCUAUCUAAAUAAUUAAAUGAACGCAGUGCAUUUAUUUUGCAUGGGUCCCUCACUUUUAUAUAUUCAGUCCACAUUCAGAAAUCAUCCAUUUAUUUUUUAUUUUAUAUGAUUUGAUUUAACACACACUGCAUAAUAACAUAUUCUUAUUGGGUUUACUUUUUUGGUUUCUCCUAACAAGAAAUAACAUACCUCUAUAUAAAAAUUGGACAAAAUAAUAAUUCUGCUCAACAUCUUCCUAGACAAACUAAAUAAAUUGAACCUCCUGUUCCUGAGGUUUUUAUAUUCACUCAUGCUCCCCUCCCCAAUCUCUCUCUGUAUAGGAGAGCAGUAAUCACAUUCCUCAAUCAUCAAAUAUAAAUAGUCUUGACACACAUAUUAAACAAGAUACACAGCUAUAAGCAAACCACAUCCAUAUGUCAACUUUUCUUCAAUUAUAACAGCUAUGUUUGUAGUCUUGCAAUUAAUUGUGUAUGGCUUCCUUUUCAAAAAAAAAUUCUUGGAUAUAUUAACCCAUUUGCCCCAUUUUUUAAAGUUCUACUCUUUUUCAAUCCUGUUUCCAUGUCUAACAUACUCCCAGCAACAUAUCCUCACUUCAGUUUUAUAAUAUUUUUUUUAUUUUAAUUCUAGUCCUUCUGCUGAAGUAUUCAGUUCUUUCAUCCACUUUCAAUACAGUUUUUUUUAAAUUUUCAUCAAAAAUGCUGUACUUUAUUUUAUAUGCAUUGUUCAGUUUUAACAGACCUUGUUCUCUUGGACUACUGUGUGUUCUUUUUAGCUAUCCUUUCUUUUUCUUCCUCACAUUUUGCCACAAGUGCAGAGUCUGCUUUUUUCUUUUCCUGGAUCAACCAAGUGCCACUGAGCCUGACUCUCUCAUGGACUGAGACAGAACAACUGGCCCAAAGUCACCUUGUUGACCUCCAUGCUUAAGGAGGGAUUAGAACUCAUAUUUUCUUGAUUUCUUGCCUAGUGCCUGAACUACUGGAACACCACUACUAGUCUCUCUACUCUUUGCAACUAUCUCUCUGUACAGAAUACACAAUGUAUUCCCUCUUAAAUUUAAAUUUCACAGCAGCCAUUCUUCCUCAUGCAUUUUUUUCAUCUACAGCCUCCUUCACUUCAUUAUUCCACCAGCUCUUUUUUUUCCUGUGCCAACUUUUAACAUUUUUUCAUUCUUUCUAAACAGCUUUCAUAUAAUCUUUCCUUGUAUCCAUUUCCAUUCAUUCUUUUGAGUAAUCUUCUAACACGUUUUCAUACAAGAGUCAUAGUUUCUCUUCCUGUUGUCAUUCUGCUUUUAUCUUUAAUUUCUUUCACUUCCUUUUCUUCCACAUCCCUUUUUUCAUUCAGCUGUAUCCAUAACACAGGCACAAUUUCCUGCUGACAGGGCACAAUAGCAUACUUGGUCGGAAUAGCACUGAAAUUAUUUUACCCCACAGUAUUUCAGUAGAAGGCUCCAAUUUUAUAAUUAUUUUAAAUAACCCUCAUUUUGCACUGGAAGAAAACAUAAAUCUUACUUUUUUAUUUUCAGUAGGGAAGCUCCUAUCAAUAAAAAGAAUGGUGUAAGUAUUUUAUUAUUCUCCUUUUAAUGGAUUUUCUGAAAAGAAAACUGAUGGACAGGCAGGGGGGAAACUGGGAUGGUUACAGAUGGAAAACAACUUUGCCUGAACUACUGCUAAAUUUUGUGAAAAAGGAAGAGUAUUUGCGUAAUAAAAAUCUUUGUGGAGGCUCAUAUCAAAUGAUCUAAGUGCCAAAGCCCACUGUAACAACAUCACCAAAAAGGCAUUAAGGGUUGUAAACCUAAUCUUGUGUAGCUUCUUCUCCAGUAAUAUUACACUACUAACCAGAGCAUACAAAACAUUUGCUAGACCAAUUUUCGAAUACAGCUCAUCUGUCUGGAACUCGCACUGCAUAUCGGACAUUAAUACAAUUGAACGUGUCCAGAAAUAUUUCACAAGAAGAGUCCUCCACUCUUCUGCUCACAACAAAAUACCUUACGCCACCAGACUUGAAAUUUUGGGCUUAGAAAAUUUAGAACUACACCGCCUUCAGUAUGACCUAAGCAUAGCUCAUAAAAUUAUCUGCUACAAUGUCCUACCUGUCAAUGACUAUUUCAGCUUCAACCACAACAAUACACGAGCACACAAUAGAUACAAAUUUAAGGUAAACCACACCAAACUCGAUUGCAGAAAAUAUGACUUCAGCAACAGAGUUUUCAUGCCUGGAAUGCACUACCUGACUCUGGUUUCAUCCCAAAACCCCAAAAAUUUUAACCUUGGACUGGCUACUGUUGACCUCACCCCAUUCCUAAGAGGUCUGUAAGGGGCAUGCAUAAGAGCACCAGCAUGCCUACCAUUCCUGUCCUAAUGUUCCUUUUAAUUGUAUUCAUCUUAUGUAUUCAAUUCAUGCUUAUACUUACAUAUAUUAUUUAAUAUAUACUCGACAAAUAAAUAAAAUAAAAAUAAAGCACCUGUACAAUCACCUAGCCUGCCACAAAUAAUAGCAUGCUGACUGGGGAAUUCUGGGCACUGAAGUCUACAUAUCUUAAAAGUUGCCAAGUUUGAAAAACACUGAUACAGAUUGUCCACAUGGCAAUUAUAUUUAUUCUUUCAUUAAAAGAGAAAGAUGACAAUUGCAUCUCUUUACCAUUCAACUGAUGGCACCACAUUUUAUUUCAGAUUGGUGAAAGAGUAUGCUACACUAUCACAGUUCCUUCUUUUUGUUUACAAUUGCAAAUACUACCCAAAUGCCUUUGCUUUUAGGCAGGGGUGAAAUCCAGCAGGUUCUGACAGGUUCUGGAGAACUGGUAGUAAAAAUUUUGAGCGGUUCGGAGAACCGGUAGUGGAAAUUUUGAGCAGUUCAGAGAACCGGUAGUGGAAGUUUUGAGUAGUUCAGAGAACUGACAAAUCAAACCUCUGGCUGGCCCCAGAGUGGGGUGGGAGUGAAAAUUUUGCAGUAUCCUUCGCCUGGAGUGGGGUGGGAAUGGAAAUUUGCAGUAUCCUUCCCCUGCCACAUCCACCAAGCCAUACCCACCAAGCCAAACUAUGCCCACCAAGCCACGCCCACAGAACCGGUAGUAAAAAGAAAUGGAUUUCACCACUGCUUUUAGGGUACAUGUGAUAAACAUGUGAUAUGGAAAAACAGAAGUUAAAAACUGUAAUAUAUAUAAAACCAAAAAUGUAGCUCAGUGCAGGGAACUAGAAAAACAGAAUAAAAAUAUUCUUGUCCGGUGGCAGGAUAAUGAAGUGGCUGCCAGGCAAGUAUCAUUGGAAAAUAGAAGGACAUUAAAUGCAGGGAUUUAUCAUCAAGAAGACCCUCUCUCUUGUUGCCAGUGAGAUAUUCUGAUGACCGAGGGCAUCUAGUAAAAUACAUUUUGAUAAUGACCCAGUAUAAAUGCAUGCUCAUUCUGAUAUUGUAGAACUUAGUAGAAACUAAGGGUAUGUUUUCUGUUCAGACAGUGGAAGAUGACACUGAGAACAUACUGAUUCAAAAGUAAUUCUAAGAAUAGCAGACAUAUGGCUGCAGCGUGUGAAAAUCUGGGUUUGUUUAUAAAUCCCUCCAAUAACUAGAUAGAUAAGCAGCAGUUAAUUACUAAUAUAUGAUUAUUUAAAGAUGGGCAAAUAUUUACAAGUAAUUGGAAAAUAAAUGCAAUUUGGAGGAGUAUGCUUUUUUCUAAAAGCGAUCUUUUCCCUGAAACACAUCCUGCCUUCCACAAGCCUUUUAUAAUUUGACAUAAAAAGAACUGAAUAUUUUUCAUAAGUGAAAACUCUAAGAUUUUAUGAUGUUUAAAAGGAUCAAUUAGAUUAUGGGUUCCUGUAGAACAGUCUUCUCCUCCCACCCCAGCCCUGCAGUGAAAAUAUGAACACAGCUUCCUUCUCCAUAAACAGAUGUUUUGUUUUUCGCCUGGAAGUAGCAAUUCAAUAUUGAAUUGCCUCUAGACCCACCAGGAAAAAGUUAGGAAAUAACCCAAAGUAACCUACCAGAGAAAAUGAGAAUUACUGUUUCUGCCCAGAGCAACUUCCAUAAUAUCACAGAUAACACUUUUGAACACUAAAGUAUGCAUUCCUGAGCUGGAAAACAGUGGAUGAUUUUAUGGUUCCAAAGGAAACACUUUACUUUUUGGAUUCAAGAUAGAUCGCAGACAGGGAGGAAAGGGGAGGGGGCUUCUGAGACUGUGGAAAACAAGAAAUUGUAUUGUUUUGCACACAGACUCCAUCUCUGAAUAGUGAGAUGUUUUAAGGAUUCAAGUGUUCACAAGAGUCCUAGUUUCCUUAGAAGGAGCCACCAUAAAUAUAUGUGAUAUGUGGCUGAGCUAAUUAACUGAAGCUUCACAGCAGGUUGAUAAAUUCCAGUUUCCCAUUAAAAAUUAUGGUAAACUUUUAAUGCUAUUGGAUUUCCUGCAUUUAACAAAGUUAGCUGCCUGCUAUCUUCUGAGAUCCAUGAAUUCCUGAAUACCUGAACUUCCUAUAAGCUUCUAUUGGUUAUCCCAGCAAGGGAGAAAAGCACAAUGAGUUAUUUCUAUAAUCACUUUCUUCGGCAAUUCUACUUCUUGAAAUGUUUGCAGUUAUCAACUAAUUUUUGAGGCCCUAAAGCUCUAUAUAGCCUCCGGUGACAUUUUUACAGUACCAUAAUACCCUAUAAACAAAACAGCUAAAAAUUAAUGGCAUAGUUUCUUGUCAUUUUGAAGCAGAAAAAAAAUUAUAAAAUGGACUUAGCUUGAUUUAACACAGUUUUUUUAAAGAGACACCCGAAAUAUAGAUGAAACCAGUAUAGAUUGGCUCUCUUUAUAUUAUAGAGCCCUGUCCAUUUUGUAUCACCCUCACUCUAGCCCUUUCUUCUUAGAAAAUGUUACUAGUGGCAAACUGUAUUACUACAGGUACAUGCACUGAUUACCUAUACAUAUCGUAGCAAAUGGAAAAUUUUCUGCAUCACACAUAUGGCUUGGUGGGGUGUUAGAGAUUCAUAGUUUGUGUGUUAUGGUUAGGGCAGGAUUCUUAAAAUUACACCAAAAGUUAUUCUCUUCCACAUAUGCAUUCAAAAAGUCUCUAAUACUUCAUUUUCAUGUGUGCAAUACUGAGGGAACUGAUUUCACCCCAAACAUAAUUAAUAAGGGCCCAUAAAAACACCCUUCAAAGUGUAAAAUAUCUCUUCUAAAUUGAUGCUUGUUUGCUCUCAUAUGCAUAUAUCAUAUACAGAACAAAAGCAAAUCUUUUCUUUAACAAUAUUUUAAUUAUAUGGAUAUUAUAAUAGAUGUAACCUGUUACCCUAGUUAUUAAGAGAGAAGUCCAAUUGAAUACAGCAGGAUUGCUAUAUGAAUCUAUGAAGAUUAGUAUAAUUAUUCAAUUUACAGUGCAAUCUUUAACAUUUCUUUUCAGAAUAAAAUCCACUGAGACCUGCUUUGUCAGGGUACAUCAAUUUCAUGUCUACAUGGGCAUGUUGGAUGAGGUGCCACAACAGCACAGGGCCAGUUAUCAGUAUACUGAAACUACUUGUAGUCUUUUGAAGUAAUUAUUUUUAAUAAGAUUGGCUCUCAAUCAAAGUCUUUGCUUGACAUAUUGCUUGACAUAGUGCAAGCCGCCCUGAGUCUUCGGAGAAGGGCGGGAUAUAAAUGCAAAUUUAAAAAAAAGUCAAUCUAAGGUAUAAAUAUAUACCUACUCUAAUUAAUAUAUUCCAAUAUAUCUUACCUUUUAACUAUCCAUACAUUACAUUAUGCACAUAAUGUCUUUGAGGAAUCUUCAAACACAUAUGAAUAAAAUAGCAGGGUGUGUGAUUUCUUAUUCCCCAUUAUGGUUUCUAGAGCAAUGAAUCUGAAUAACAAAAAUGCAACAUUUAUAAAAAAGUGGGACAGGAAGCUUCCUAAGUGCAAUAUAAGUGUGAAAAGAAUUUCCUUGUUUAUUCAACCAAAAAAAUCCAUCUAAUCUAAUGUACUGUUACAAUCGCCAGUUAGUAUUACCAGAAGGAUUGAUAGGUAUUACAACCUUUUUAUUUUGCAUCAUUUGAUAGUGACAUCUUUGGAGUAAAGGUUAAGUGUUUUAAUAUUCCCAUAACUAAUAAAAUAAGAACUUAUACAUUUGUCUACAUUUGAGAAAUCAUCAAUAUGUGAAGAAUCUUAAGAAUUCUUAAAGUCAUCUUUACUUACUCAGGAACACACACAUAAAACUAAAUCCAAACUAAAAAGUUAGAUGAUCACAUGUGAGAUACUGAAGUAAAAAAUAAAGACAUGUUAAUUCAUAUUCUUGUUGUUUUAUUUUCUCUAAUCACAUUAGUAGUUCCAUGUCAUGACUGAUUCUGCUAAAUGUUAACAGGGUUUACCAUGACCUUAAUCUGUUCAACAUAAUCACAAAAAGGGAUAAUUUAAUAAGAAAAUAUUUUAAAUCUAUUUCAAAAGUGUUUAUCUGAAUGUAAUUUUUUCAGUGUAUCAAAAUAAAAAAAAAAAUGUUUUCAAGUAAUAUAUUAGAGUGAAAAAAAUAAUUAAUAUGCCAUUUUCUAAUACUAAGGCUCAUUAACUAGUAGAAGGAAAAUACCAUUGAGCCAUUAUAUUCUACACUGAUGAAGAAUUACUGCAUUUUUUUAAUACAAGGACUUCAAUCUGGUAGCAGCAGUGAAUACCUUCAAGUGAAUAAUGAGCUGAUGUGUGGUGAGAGUGGUCCCUGCAAGUCUUAAGAUGCAUUCAUUCUUGAAAUAGACCAGAUAGUCUUUCAAAAGAUUUCCUGAACGCAAAUAAUUUUAUACAUGUGAAAAAGGCUUUCUGAAUUCACAGUUGUUAAAUAUCUUUGCAAAGUAGGUUCUACAAUGGAAACCUUGGCAUGAUUAUUAUGAAAACAUGAUUUACACUCCCAAAACUUAUAAAUAUAUUAAUGUGUUUGUGUCUCUCUGUGUGUAUAUGUGUAUGGGUGUGUGUAUGUGCAUGCAUGUGCAUGUAUGUAUGCAGGGAUAGAUGAGAGAGAGAGAGAGAAUGCCUUAAGAAAUUAACAGGUAUCUAAAUGAUUGUACAAUUGAAUUUGCUUUACAAUUAAUAUCAUGUCUAAAAUGAAAUCUCUUGAGUUUCAUAAAGUUGAAUAUGUUAAAAGUUUGCUUUUUAGCAGUGGAUUGAUAAAAGAUAAUAUUUGAAAAAGUUAGUACAGGAAAUGUAUCAUUUUUUGCAUUCCACUGUGUUUCAUUUACAAAAAAACUCGGUUUUUACUUGGAGAAAAAAAAACCUAUUAUCAAACUCUAAAGUAAAAAUCAAUGCAUUAUGCAAAAUUAAUCCUCUAUGGAAAAAUGAAAUGGAGGUUUGAUUUUAAUCCUUGAUUUUGUUCCACAUCUGUUCAUACUUGCCAUUUGUACAACCCCACUUCCUUUUCCUUCACCAUAAAUGUAAAUGGAAGUACAGAAUAGCAUAAACAGGUGUGAGCUGUGAAAAAGAUAUUCGCCUGAUCAGUUAAAUUCUGAUUAACUCUUAAGAGUUUCCACAUUCAACUUGCUUCCAAUUUAUAAUUCCUGUUAUGUUCAUAUGUCAAGAAUCUGCUCAUCAAUAUUGUGUAAUAGCUUAGUAGAUUUACAAUAUUAUUAUUAGUCAAAUUAUUAGUAAAUUAUUGGAUGGAAACGUUGCUAUGAAUUACCUUCUGAAAUUAUAUCAAACUAUUGCCAAAAAUAUUUAGUAUUGCAGAACUGACAUCUCAAUGGAAUUAAUUAAUUUUUUCAUUGUCUCAAUCAAAAAUAUACUUCUAUGAGAACUAGUGUGUUUUAGUGAUUGUUUGUCUUUGAACUAGCCACUCUCUCUUAAUUUAGUCUAUCUCACAGAGUGGUUGUUGUGGGGGGGAAAGUAGAGGAGGGUAUGCUAUGCUCUUCAAGAAGAAGGGUGGGAUAUCAAUUUAACAUAUCAAAUCAAAUUUUAAUAACAUAUAUAAAUUAAGAAUCUAUCAGUUAGAAACACCUUACACUGCUUGGAAACUCUCAGCAGAAAAAGAUUUCUGGUAGCUGAAAUAAUUAUUUGCUCUUUUAAAAAACUGUCAUACAAAUUAUGUUCUUUCUAAGAUACACUCAAAUAAGAACUUUAUUAGUGUGAAUUGAAAAAGUGUCAUACAUGGGCAAAAAUGUGUUUCAGGAUAGUCAAGUGAUUAUUAAUAUUUCAAAAAUUACCUUAUAUAGGUAUUUCUAAUAGCCUAAAUACUAUAACAGAACUGAGUAGAUACUAGAAACAGAAUGGAGCACAACAUAUUUCUAAGGCAAUCUUUCCUAACUUGCUAUAAUAUGGUUCCAAACUUCUUUAAGGAAAAUAUCAUUGAAAAAUGCACAGAAAGUAUAAUCUGACACAUUUGGAUAAUAUUUUCCUGAAAAAGACUCUCUGAGAGAUAGAAAAUAUAUGUGGUACAAAAUAACAAAAUCAAAAAGUGUUGAAGUGCCCUCUGCAAAAGAGUACAUUCAUUAUGGGAAACCCAUUACAUCCAGUGAAUUGUAGUAUUUCAGGGCAAAAUAAAUAAAUACAAACACACAAAUAUGUUGGGCCAUUCUAAAAUACGCAACAAUUAUUGGUUAUCUCAGAUUCUGGGAACCAAAAAUAAAUCAGAAAUAUCCUAAAGUGUAUUCCUAACAUAAACCUCAUAAUCCAGGAAUUGGAACCACUGGUCUUCCAAACUUUUAUAAUCAGUAGCCCCCAGCAGCCCUUCAAGAUUAAGAAUGCUGAGAAAUGCAUUUUAUUGGCAUCUAGAGAGCUACAUAUUCCCUACUCUGCUACAACUGAGUAGUAAAUUUGGGCUUUUAGAUUAACUACCUGUAUUGUUUCACGGAUUAGAGACUGUGGAUCAGGUGCCUCAGGUUCUGCUUGUUUUAUUGUAUUUGGUUUUUAUUAUUGUCGUGAGCCAUUCAGAAUUGUGUUUUACAAGUUGGACAACCAAAAAGUGUUUUAAAUAAUUUACAGCAUAGGAUUUCCUUAUAAGAAAUGUUCCAUACCAAAAAAUCAGAAAACAUUACUGUGUCAGAAAUGCUGCAUGCAAGUAGUAGGAUUACAGUAUAGCAUCUUCAUGUUUAUAAACUACUGUUAUUAAUACCUGGGAGAUUAAUUAGCAAAAUGAGAUGAAAGCUUUAUUUCCAUCUGUCUUGCAGUUUAAGUCCAACCAUCAACUUCU